GAACAACUUCCUCCUGGUAUAUUGGGGCCAAUAAAAAACAAGCCUAUCAUGCUGGAAAGUGGCUCUUUGCUAUGUGGAUCAUCAGUGGAGAGUUGGAACUCUUGGGGAGCAUGGAUGGAGAUGACUACUGAUUCAGGUAGGACGUGGAGAAAGUAUGGUCCAAUAUAUAUCGAGAAUAACCCUCUUAGUGUGAUUCAACCCGUUCCUUAUCAGACUGCAAAUGGGACAUUGCGUAUUCUUCUAAGAUCAUUCGCUGGCAUCAAUAAAAUCUGCAUGUCGGAGUCCCGUGAUGGUGGUUAUACUUGGAGUUAUGCAAAGCCUACUGAAUUGCCCAAUCCUAACUCAGGGAUUGAUGGGGUUAAGCUGAAAGAUGGACGUCUUUUGCUUGCAUACAAUACCAUUUCUAGGGGUGUGCUCAAGGUAGCACUCUCAGAAGAUGAUGGAGACUCGUGGCAUGAUGUUGUCACACUUGAGGAACCUGUAGGCGAGUUCUCUUAUCCGGCUGUUAUCCAAGCUAGCGAUGGAUUAGUUCACAUAACUUAUACAUACAACAGAACACAAAUUAAGCAUGUAGCCUUUCAACCCAACUAAUGGAGUACAGCAACAUGAGAGAUAAAGAAGGGGAUCCUUAUAUUAAGUUAGAAGUUAGUUCUCUUCAGCAGAGGAUGAUCACGUAGACUGUGAUAAGCUAUGUAACCAAUAGAGGUGUGUUUUUAAGUAUCGUCCAUGCAAGAGAUUGUUCUUUGUGUUUGCUGUUGUACCUUCAUUUCCACGGAAAAGGACUGUGUUGUUCACGCUUCACACUAUCCUUAGGGGGGAACUAGCUUGUUCUUCACGCUACUUGAAAUCAUCGAUAGUUAUCCAUGAUUUUGCUUUGGAUUUUGAUUGAAGAGACAUCUAAGUUUCUUAUGCUAGUUUGCUUAGGCCAAGUUUAAGUGACUGUUAAUGA
rnacentral:misc_RNA from 1 species